UUAAGAAUCUUGCGCAAUGGGCGCAAUCCUGACGCAGCGACGCCGCGUGAAUGAUGAAGGCCUUCGGGUUGUAAAGUUCGAUAAGCAGGGAAGAAUAAGCGUGGGGUAAUAUUCAAUGUGAUGACGGUACCUGCCUAAAGCCCCGGCUAACUACGUGCCAGCAGCCGCGGUAAUCCGUAUGGGGCGAGCGUUGUUCGGAAUUAUUGGGCGUAAAGGGCGCCUAGGCGGGGGACUAAGUUAGUUGUGAAAGCUAUGGGCUCAACCCAUAAAUUGCAUCUAAGACUGGUUCUCUUGAGUUCGGGAGAGGAGAGCGGAAUUCCAGGUGUAGCGGUGAAAUGCGUAGAUAUCUGGAAGAACACCAGUGGCGAAGGCGGCUCUCUGGCCUAGGACUGACGCUGAAGCGCGAAAGCGUGGGGAGCGAACA
rnacentral:rRNA from 1 species